CCUACGGGAGGCAGCAGUCGAGAAUCAUUCACAAUGGGGGAAACCCUGAUGGUGCGACGCCGCGUGGGGGAAUGAAGGUCUUCGGAUUGUAAACCCCUGUCAUGUGGGAGCAAAUUAAAAAGAUAGUACCACAAGAGGAAGAGACGGCUAACUCGGUGCCAGCAGCCGCGGUACUACAGAGGUCUCAAGCGUUGUUCGGAAUCACUGGGCGUAAAGCGUGCGUAGGCUGUUUCGUAAGUCGUGUGUGAAAGGCGCGGGCUCAACCCGCGGACGGCACAUGAUACUGCGAGACUAGAGUAAUGGAGGGGGAGCCGGAAUUCUCGGUGUAGCAGUGAAAUGCGUAGAUAUCGAGAGGAACACUCGUGGCGAAGGCGGGUUCCUGGACAUUAACUGACGCUGAGGCACGAAGGCCAGGGGAGCGAAAGGGAUUAGAUACCCGAGUAGUC
rnacentral:rRNA from 1 species